UACGUAGGGUGCGAGCGUUAAUCGGAAUUACUGGGCGUAAAGCGUGCGCAGGCGGUCUGUUAAGACCGAUGUGAAAUCCCCGGGCUUAACCUGGGAACUGCAUUGGUGACUGGCAGGCUUUGAGUGUGGCAGAGGGAGGUAGAGUUCCACGUGUAGCAGUGAAAUGCGUAGAGAUGUGGAGGAAUACCGAUGGCGAAGGCAGCCUCCUGGGCCAACACUGACGCUCAUGCACGAAAGCGUGGGGAGCAAACAGG
rnacentral:rRNA from 1 species